GGUGGUAUAAAAGUGAAGAGUGAAGGGGAUGGAAUGGGGAGAAGGAAAUGGGCAGUGUGAAAGCAGUGGCUGUCAUCAGCGGGGGAGAUAAGUGCCCCCUGCUCAGAGGCGCUCUUCAAUUCGUGCAGGGCCCCCAAGGGCCAACCCGUGUUAGAGGAAAAAUUAGUGGCCUCUCUCCGGGCCUUCAUGGCUUCCAUAUUCACGCUCUUGGUGAUACCUCCAACGGCUGCAAUUCCACUGGACCUCACUUCAAUCCACUGAACAAGGCCCAUGGAGCUCCUUCAGACAAGGACCGUCACGCCGGUGAUUUGGGUAACGUCACUGCAGGCCCAGAUGGAGUUGCUGAGGUUUCUGUUGACGACUGGCAGAUUCCACUAAGCGGACCUCAUUCCAUUCUUGGGAGGGCGGUUGUAGUGCAUGCUGAUCCUGAUGAUCUUGGCAAAGGUUUGUGUCAAUUGCACAGUACUCAAAGAAAAGCAGUCAUUCACUUCAUUGAUUCAAAAUGAUAAAAAGUUGAACAAGUGGACAUGAACUCAGCAAAUCUACUGGGAAUGCAGGAGCAAGAGUUGGAUGCGGUAUAAUUGGCCUUCAGUCAUCUGUUUAAGAGGGAUGUUAAUGCAAGCACAUAGUAGAUGACUUCAUAAAUGUGGCUUCUCUUCUUUCUUUUGUAUUUUCAUUUGUGUAAAUUGAUCUUGUGUAAUAAUAGUAUGUGUAUUGGGGUAAAAACAUCAACUAUGCCAUGAAUUGCUACCUGCUGCCUAAAAGUCUUUGUGAUGAUAUACAUCAACUAUGUGCUUCA